rnacentral:misc_RNA from 1 species
AAAAAAUUCGUUUCUUUGUCAUUUGGGUGACAGAAAAAACUUGUGGUAGCUAGAGGGAUUAUAUGUGAAUUUGUUGUGCUAAUUCAUUGCAUGAUGCUGAUUUUGUGCAUUAGAAUUUGGUUUCUUAGUGUCAUUACAACAGUGUCCUUCUUGGAUGGUUUAUUCUACCUAAUGAAUGAAACUUCUUUUUCCAUUGAAAAUGAUGUUCCUUUGAUAGUUUAUUCUGUUUGUACACACACACAUAUAUGUAUAUACACACUUA